AUACCCGAGAUUCACAAAGAGACUGAAAAGACCCACUCGAAUAGUCCCCAAACUCACGGAUCUACAACUUUUGAGGGUAGAGCCGGGAGAAAACAACCCUUCAGCUGCCGAUCCAGUGGUCCCAGAAGUCAAAAAUAAACAGCAAAGGCUUCGGCCGCAGCAAAUGAGGAAGGGAUAUGCGGAUCCAUGAUAGAGCCGAGGAAAAAAAAAAUAAACACAUAA